rnacentral:pre_miRNA from 1 species
UUUAAGUGCAGCCAUAAGCUUCCGUGUCCAAUAUUUGACCGUCCGUUUUAUUUAAAAAAUUUAUAAAAAAAAUUUAAAAAUUUAGUCAUGCAUAAAGUACUAUUCAUAUUUUAUCAUCUAAUAACAAUAAAAAUACUAAUUAUAAAAAAAAUUCAAAUAAGACGGAUAGCCAAAUGUUGGACACUGGAACCCACAACUGUGCUUAUU